AUGUUGUAUGAAAAGAGAGAAGGUUAGCACUCCCCUUGACAAGGAUGGAAUUGACCCAAGUGGCCUGCAACAAACAUAUGGUUAAGGCAUUGCCACCUACAGCGUGGCAUCUCUAACCAUAUUGUUUU
ensembl:snRNA